UACGGGGGAGCAAGCGUUGUUCGGAUUUACUGGGCGUAAAGGGCGCGUAGGCGGUCGUGACAAGUCACUUGUGAAAUCUCCGGGCUUAACUCGGAACGGUCAAGUGAUACUGUCGGACUAGAGUACAGAAGGGCAACUGGAAUUCUCGGUGUAGCGGUGAAAUGCGUAGAUAUCGAGAGGAACACCUGCGGCGAAGGCGGUUGCUGGCUGAUACUGACGCUGAGGCGCGAAAGCCAGGGAGCGAACGGG
rnacentral:rRNA from 1 species